rnacentral:tRNA from 1 species
GUUUUUAUAGUUGAAUACAACAGGAGUUUUUCAGACUUCAGGUUUAGGUUAGACCCCUAAUAGGAACU